UCCCCAACAGCUAGCCCGCCCCUCAAUAACAACAACCCCUAUCAAUAACCCCAAAGGAAGGAAACAACCAAAACCAAAUCAUUUUUCCCCUACAGUAUGGGAGACAGAACCAGGCCAUUAUGGAGCUAUAGAAAAAGUACCGCAAGGGAACGCUGAAAGAGAAAUGAAAUAACCCAGUCAAGGAAUAAAAAGCAGAGCCGAGCCCUCGUACCUUUUGCAUCAUGACUUAGCAAGUACACGCAAGCAAAGAGCCCUUUACGUUUGUGCCCCCGAAACUGAGCGAGCUACUCCAAGGCAGCCUAUUAGGGCGAACCCGUCUCUGUGGCAAAAGAGUGGGACGAACUUUGAGUAGAGGUGACAGACCUACCGAGCCCAGUUAUAGCUGGUUACCUGAGAAUUGAAUAGAAGUUCAACCUUUUGCCUGCUCCAACCCACACCAAAGACCCCUUAUCCCCAGGACAACAGCACGCCAAAAGAGCUAUUCGAGGGAGGGACAGCUCCCUCGAACAAAGAUACAACUUUUUUAGGAGGAUAAAGACUAAAGGAAAGAAGGCUUACACCAAGGUGGGCCUAAAAGCAGCCACCCUAGAAGAAAGCGUUAAAGCUCAAGUCAGCACUCCCUGUAAUACCUGCAAACCACUCUUACUCCCCUUACAAUAUCAGGUCCUUCUAUGCCAACAUGGAAGAGAAACUGCUAACAUGAGUAACAAGAAAGCUAACCCCUUUCUCCCCAGCCCUAGUGUACCCGGAACAAACCCUGACCGAAAAUUAACGGCCCCAACAGAGGGGAAUGGGCCACCCGCCUCGCUGGACAAGAUGCGCCCCCUACUACAACCGUUAACCCCACACUGGUGUGCCAGAGGAAAGAUGCAAGGGAAAAGAAGGAACUCGGCAAACCCUAGCCUCGCCUGUUUACCAAAAACAUCGCCUCCUGCCCCACUAGUAUAGGAGGUCCCGCCUGCCCUGUGACAUAAGUUUAACGGCCGCGGUAUUUUGACCGUGCGAAGGUAGCGUAAUCACUUGUCUUUUAAAUGAAGACCUGUAUGAAUGGCACAACGAGGGCUAAGCUGUCUCCUUUCCCCCAUCAGUGAAAUUGAUUUGUCCGUGCAGAAGCGGACAUGCCCACAUAAGACGAGAAGACCCUAUGGAGCUUCAGACAUAAGGGCAGCCCAAGUUAAGCACCCCACCUUACAGGGAUCAAACCCAGUGGCCCCUGUCCCGAUGUCUUUGGUUGGGGCGACCACGGGGAAACAAAAAACCCCCGAGCGGAACGGGCCACACCCCUAAGACCAGAGCUACAGCUCUAACAACCAGAACUUCUGACCACCAAGAUCCGGCAGUGCCGAUCAACGGACCGAGUUACCCUAGGGAUAACAGCGCAAUCCUCUUUUAGAGCCCAUAUCGACAAGGGGGUUUACGACCUCGAUGUUGGAUCAGGACAUCCUAAUGGUGCAGCCGCUAUUAAGGGUUCGUUUGUUCAACGAUUAAAGUCCU
rnacentral:rRNA from 1 species